AUUGAACGCUGGCGGCAGGCUUAACACAUGCAAGUCGAACGAGUGGCGGACCGGUGAGUAAUGCAUGGGAAACUCGCUAAUGGAGGGGGAUAACUACGGAAAACAGUAGCUAAUACCGCGUACCAUAGGCUGAGCCCAAGUGGGAUUAGGGAGUUGGUGAGGUAAAGGCUCACCAGGCCGACGAUCUCUAGCUGGUCUGAGAGGAUGACCAGCCACACUGGGACUGAGACACGGCCCAGAGUCCUGCGGGAGGCAGCAGUGGGGAAUAUUGCGCAAUGGGGGCAACCUGACGCAGCCAUGCCGCGUGUAUGAAGAAGGCCUGCGGGUUGUAAAGUUCUUUCGGUAGCGAGGCGUUAACGACAGAAGAAGCCCCGGCUGAGUCAGUGCCAGCAGCCGCGGUAAUAC
rnacentral:rRNA from 1 species